CGGCGUGCCUAACACAUGCAAGUCGUACGGAAAAGCCGGCUUCGGCUGGUGAGUAAAGUGGCGGCACGGGUGAGUAACGCGUGGAUAAUCUGCCCUUAAGUGUGGAAUAACGUACCGAAAGGUGCGCUAAUACCGCAUAAUGCCUGGCAACACAAGUUGUCCGGCCAAAGAAGGCCUCUGUUUACAAGCUUUCGCUUCAGGAUGAGUCCGCGUACCAUUUAGCUUGUUGGUGGGGUAAUGGCCUACCAAGGCUGCGAUGGUUAGCUGGUCUGAGAGGAUGAUCAGCCACACUGGAACUGAGACACGGUCCAGACUCCUACGGGAGGCAGCAGUGAGGAAUAUUGCGCAAUGGGGGCAACCCUGACGCAGCAACGCCGCGUGAGUGAGGAAGGUUUUCGGACUGUAAAGCUCUGUCGAGCGGGAAGAAGUGUACCAUGGCUAAUAUCCAUGAUAUUUGACGGUACCGCUAGAGGAAGCACCGGCUAACUCCGUG
rnacentral:rRNA from 1 species